rnacentral:rRNA from 1 species
UACGAGGGGUGCAAGCGUUGUUCGGAAUUACUGGGCGUAAAGCGUGUGUAGGUGGUCAUAUAAGUCAGAUGUGAAAGCCUGGGGCUCAACCUCAGAAGUGCAUCUGAAACUAUGUGACUUGAGUAUGGGAGAGGGUAACGGAAUUCCUGGUGUAGUGGUGAAAUACGUAGAUAUCAGGAGGAACAUCGGUGGCGAAGGCGGUUGCCUGGCCCAAUACUGACACUGAGACACGAAAGCAUGGGGAUCAAACAGG